GAUGAAGAACGUAGCGAACUGCGAUAAGUAAUGUGAAUUGCAGAAUUCAGUGAAUCAUCGAGUCUUUGAACGCACAUUGCGCCCCUUGGUAUUCCGAGGGGCAUGCCUGUUCGAGCGUCAUUAUAACCCCUCAAGCUCAGCUUGGUGUUGGGGCCUGCUGCACUGGCAGCCCUUAAAAUCAGUGGCGGCGCCAUCUGGCUCUAAGCGUAGUAAUUCUUCUCGCUAUGGAGUCCUGGUGGAUGCUUGCCAUCAACCCCCAAUUUUUCUAUGGUUGACCUCGGAUCAGGUAGGGAUACCCGCUGAACUUAAGCAUAUCAAUAAGCGGAGGA
rnacentral:misc_RNA from 1 species